GACGAACGCUGGCGGCGUGCUUAACACAUGCAAGUCGAACGGAAAGGCCCUGCUUUUGUGGGGUGCUCGAGUGGCGAACGGGUGAGUAACACGUGAGUAACCUGCCCUUGACUUUGGGAUAACUUCAGGAAACUGGGGCUAAUACCGGAUAGGAGCUCCUGCUGCAUGGUGGGGGUUGGAAAGUUUCGGCAGUUGGGGAUGGACUCGCGGCUUAUCAGCUUGUUGGUGGGGUAGUGGCUUACCAAGGCUUUGACGGGUAGCCGGCCUGAGAGGGUGACCGGCCACAUUGGGACUGAGAUACGGCCCAGACUCCUACGGGAGGCAGCAGUGGGGAAUAUUGCACAAUGGGCGGAAGCUUGAUGCAGCAACGCCGCGUGCGGGAUGACGGCCUUCGGGUUGUAAACCGCUUUCGCCUGUGACGAAGCGUGAGUGACGGUAAUGGGUAAAGAAGCACCGGCUAACUACGUG
rnacentral:rRNA from 1 species